GCAUCACUAUGAGGGUUAGGUCUGAAAGCUCCCAAAAAGAGCGGACCUAGCCUGAGGCUGCAAAGC
rfam:Anolis carolinensis chromosome 2, whole genome shotgun sequence.